rnacentral:lncRNA from 7 species
UAUACAGGUGGCGCAGUGGUAUGUCUGGUAUAAGGCAUGUCUGGUAUAAGGCAAGCCAGAGUCAUGCAUUCCUGGUUAGCAGAAUGAAAAAUGCUUGGGAGAUAACACACUUGCUUAGAGAUCCUUUCUUAAAGAAAACUGUUGAAGGAAGAAGCCAUUUGGGCCUCAGACAGCUGUGCCCACAGAGAAAAUUAUCUGCACCAGAGCCAGCUCUUCAGGUCCACUACACAGACAGAAAUCCAACCUCUUCCCAGUUUAUCCAGAAAUAUGGCAGCAGUGUAACAGCUUGCAAGCCUGCAGGAAGCAGCUGGCUGCUGCAGUGUUCAGAGUCCUGCACAGCACCCUUCUCUCCCAGGCAUUUCAAUAAAGUAUGUGGAAGAUCCAUAAUGGAACUCAUGCUGCCACCAGUGACCGAUCCCAGAAGUCUUCUUCCCUCCUUACCAACUCCUCAAGGAGCAUUGUGGGGUGUUUUAAAAAUAAAAUCAGUGACUUUUCGGUGUUUUACAGUGUUGACUUUAAAACCAAGUAUGUUAAUCAUGUGGAAAAAUCAGCAAGUAAUAUUUUGUGUGUUGAUUAUGCCUGAAUAGAUACAGCAUUCUGCAAGAGUUAAGAGGUCUUCUGAAUAUUUGGCAAAUACAAGAACACUAAUUAGCACUUCAUAAGUAGAAGUACUGAUAGAAGCUCUGUGAAUUGUUUACAAAAUCUUUGUGAUAUAUAGAAUAUACUAGGAAUUUCUGUUUCAUUGGGUAUGUCAAUUAAGGCAUUUGGUUCUGUAUGAAUGAGUCUAAUUGUUACCCACUUUUCCAAGUACUAUUUCAUGGGUUCAUUGUUAAGUUCUCAAGUGUCAAAGAAAGUGAGAUUUUUGUUACGGCCUAUUUUUCAAAUUCCUGCAAAUCUGAAGAAUGAAGUACAAGUGCUCUCACACAUUCCCUGUCAUUUGCAUGGCCAAAGCAACGAUUGAUGUCACAAUGACAUCAGUAAUAACAUUAGCUGCCAUAAGAUUACUAAAGUGGUUCCAGUAUAAAUGGACAUUUCCAUAUUGACAAAUAUCCUCUUUGUUAGGGAACCACAUUCUGAGGUAGACAAACUUUCAGGACAAAGGAAGGAGCAUUUAUUGGCUGGUUGUAUGGUUACAAAUCAGAACCAUUUAAAUGUGUAAAACCAAAAUAAAACAGUCAAUGU